CGGGGCCGGCGGAGCCACUGCCGGCGGCAGAAGUUGGCGACAAACGUAUGGUCGCCGUGGCUGCAGCCGCGGCUUUCUUUCUAUUUCUGCUGCAGCUUCCUGUCCUUGACCCAACGAUACAUUGUGAAGUUCUCCGGAGUCAAUGAAUCCUGGUAAAAUGCAGUAAAGGAUUUAAGGUUAUCGUCUGUCUCUCUCUAACUUCUGACAUCUCUUUAUAACAAGAAAGAGUCACAGCCAACUGUAACAGGAGGGCAACACAAUGAAUCCUGGUGCCAAAGACCAUCUGGAUCCUUCAGUUAUGCCUAGUUGUGCCUGAUGUCUUACUAUUGAAAGAAAUGGGGUGCAGCAGCAGAUGCCAGCAAAGUAAAGGUACCUAAAUAGUGCUGUUUACAAAGCAGGUUGUUUUUCUUUACUUGUAUUUCUGCUGUUGUGAGUCUUGUUGUUUACAGCUUCUCAGCGAGAAGAAUAUCCCAAAUGAAAUUACUGUCAGCAGCCAAAGAAAGUAUCCAUAAUUCAUCCCAAAGCACUGUCAACUUAAUUUUAAAGUAAUUUUUCUGCUUUAUGAAUUCAGACUGAAGUGGUGUUUUAUGAGAGCAUGGAACUGCGUGUCACAGCACCUUUUCUCCAUGGGUUGAGACUGUUGUAACACUCCAAGCUUCUGCUACCCACAUACCCUCCACUGCAGUAAUUCUUUGGUACUGUGGAGGGUCAGUCACACAGUGCUGAUCAGAUCAUGUGCCACCUGUUAUAUCCACUAGUAUAUGGGAGUAUAGCAAGGAAAAGAGAAUAACAAAGCUUUAGUGGUGUGGUAUCCCUGACAGUCAGUGUAGUAAGUUAAAACAAACUGCAAAAACUCAGAGCUAUUUUCCUCAGCAGGUGAGCGUUCAGGGAGACCCAGAGCGCAGGGAGAGUUACUGCCACCAGACACAUUCCCCCCCUUCCGCAGACUGGCAUUCUGGCCAAAGUUAAUGAGUCAUAAGAUUCUGCACUGAUUUCACUGUGAGCUUCCACAUUUGCAUAAGUAAAAGCUGCAGCUUCUGUAGGAAAAGUCUUAGUGAAAUUGCAGCACAAAACAUUGAUAUUAUGUAAUUAUAGUAGUUCAUUGUAACUUAAAUGAAAUUGUUACUUUAAACUUGCUCUAAGUGGCUCACAAUGGAACUUCAUAUGACACACCUACAAAACAAAUGAGUUAAUCACAAUAUGUGUCAUUUUUAAUUUUUGUCUUUCAUUUUUCUUUCAGUCAUUCUCUCUUUGUAAUUAGCAUGAAGACUACCCUUCAGUCAAAACUAGCCACCUGGAAAGUUUCAGCUUGUAAUAUGCAGCUUUUUUUGUGAAUUAUGAAUGUGCUAAAGAAGAGACCUUUCUCCCCACACCCACUUCCUUGCAUAAUUCAAAUAUGAAUGAAUGAAUUUUAUUCAGGCUUGCCAAAAAAUCAUAUUUCAGCUGAUAACAAGCAUGAAAAAUUUCACAUGAAAGGGAUCCUUUUUUUUUUAAAGAAUAUUCUGAGCACAGGAGAACAGCAGGUUAAGACAGAAGUCUUAGUGCAGCCUUAACUAUAACAAUUGUUAGCAAGCAAAUACUAUAUCCAAGCACUAAAUUUUGCUUUGUGCUGCCCUGGUGCACAGUAGUGGGGACAGAAUAGAAUAAUAAAAGCUGGUCCCCUUAUGCAAACAGCAGAGCACAGCACUUGACAGAAUACAAGAAGAAGGUGAGCCUGCCUACUGUUCUGGCUUGCAAGGUCUGUGGGUUAGUUGUCACCUAUAGCUCCAGUCAGCUGGCAAAUGUAGUUCAAACACUAGCAAGGGGCAGGUUUUUGGUCCUUUCCAGAAGAACAUUUUACCAGUUCCUUGCCUCCAAAUAUACAGUCCUAUUAAAUAAAGUAUUUGAAGGAAGUUCAUAUAAGAGUAACAUGGUGGUUUAACAGGUCAAAAGGGGAACGGAAUAGUGCUAGGUUUUUUUCUGAUUAACUGUGUAUUUUAAAAAAUAUGUAUCUGUAAAGAAGGUAUUAUCUGCAUCCCUCCCUUACCUUA